GUGAACGCUGGCGGUAGGCCUAACACAUGCAAGUCGAACGGCAGCACAGUAAGAGCUUGCUCUUACGGGUGGCGAGUGGCGGACGGGUGGGGAAUACAUCGGAAUCUACUUUUUCGUGGGGGAUAACGUAGGGAAACUUACGCUAAUACCGCAUACGACCUACGGGUGAAAGCAGGGGAUCUUCGGACCUUGCGCGAUUGAAUGAGCCGAUGUCGGAUUAGCUAGUUGGCGGGGUAAAGGCCCACCAAGGCGACGAUCCGUAGCUGGUCUGAGAGGAUGAUCAGCCACACUGGAACUGAGACACGGUCCAGACUCCUACGGGAGGCAGCAGUGGGGAAUAUUGGACAAUGGGCGCAAGCCUGAUCCAGCCAUACCGCGUGGGUUAAGAAGGCCUUCGGGUUGUAAAGCCCUUUUGUUGGGAAAGAAAAGCAGCAGGUUAAUACCCCGCUGUUCUGACGGUACCCAAAGAAUAAGCACCGGCUAACUUCGUG
rnacentral:rRNA from 1 species